CAGUCGCCACGGUAAUACGUAGGGUGCAAGCGUUAAUCGGAAUUACUGGGCGUAAAGCGCGCGUAGGUGGUUUGUUAAGUUGGAUGUGAAAUCCCCGGGCUCAACCUGGGAACUGCAUCCAAAACUGGCAAGCUAGAGUAUGGUAGAGGGUGGUGGAAUUUCCUGUGUAGCGGUGAAAUGCGUAGAUAUAGGAAGGAACACCAGUGGCGAAGGCGACCACCUGGACUGAUACUGACACUGAGGUGCGAAAGCGUGGGGAGCAAACAGGAUUAGAGACCCCUGUAGUCCCUGUCUCUUAUAC
rnacentral:rRNA from 1 species